UCUAUGAAUAAAUUAAAUGGCUGCAGUAUUUUAACUGUACUAAGGUAGCAUAAUCAAUUGUUUUUUAAAUGAAAACUAGAAUGAAAGGGGUAAUGAAAUAUAAUCUUUAUUUAAUUUAUAAAUUGAAUUUAAUUAUUUAGUUAAAAAGCUAAAAUAUUUUUAUAAGACGAGAAGACCCUAUAGAAUUUUAUAUUAUAAUUUAUUUAAAUAUAAUAUUAUUAAUAUAAUUAAAUAUUGAUUUGGGAGGAAAAUUAAAUUAAAAACUUUAAUUUAUUAAAUACAUUUAUAAAUGAAUUAUAAAAGAUUUUUGAUAAAAUAAAAGAUUAAAUUACCUUAGGGAUAACAGCGUAAUAUUAUUUUAAAGUUCUUAUUAAAAAUAAUGUUU
rnacentral:rRNA from 1 species